AGCCUGAACGCUGGCGGCGUGGCUAAGACAUGCAAGUCGAACGGUGUAGCAAUACACAGUGGCGAACGGGUGAGUAAUGUAUCGCUAACGUACCCUUAUGUCAGGGAUAGCCGGGGGAAACUCCGGGUAAUACCUGAUGAAAUUCCUUUUUCGCAUGGAAAAGGACUCAAAGGAGCAAUCCGACAAAAGGAGCGGGCUGGCAAGGCGCAUAG
rnacentral:rRNA from 1 species